AGCGAACGCUGGCGGCGUGCUUAACACAUGCAAGUCGAACGUGAAAGUAGCAAUAUGAGUAAAGUGGCGUACGGGUGAGUAACACGUGGGUAAUCUACCAAAGAGUCUGGAAUAACCGGCCGAAAGGCUGGCUAAUACUAGAUAGUUCAAGCGCAUUGUAGAGAUGUGAUGGGGAAAGGGAGCUGGCAACAGCCUUUGCUUUUUGAUGAGCCCGGGUCUGAUUAGCUAGUUGGUAAGGUAAUGGCUUACCAAGGCGACGAUCAGUAGCUGGUCUGAGAGGAUGAUCAGCCACACUGGAACUGAAACACGGUCCAGACUCCUACGGGAGGCAGCAGUGGGGAAUCUUGCGCAAUGGACGAAAGUCUGACGCAGCCACGCCGCGUGAGUGAAGAAGGCCUUCGGGUUGUAAAGCUCUGUCGGAAGGGACAAAAACCAUUAUGGUUAAUAGCCAUAGUGCCUGAUGGUACCUUUAAAGGAAGCACCGGCUAACUUCGUGCCAGCAGCCGCCGUAA
rnacentral:rRNA from 1 species